GGGGAUGUUCCGGUCUCGACGGGGGAGGCUGGUCCCGGAUUGCGAGCCGAGAGGUGCCGACCUCGUAAAAUCAGUACAAAAAAUCAAGUGCCAACAAUCGCACUUCCUACGCUGCAAUGCCUCUCGCUGCAUAAGCGGGGCGUUUGCCGCAAUUGGCCUUUUCAGGUCACGUUCACCCGCAUCGUACUGCUGACCGAUCGCGGAGUGGGCGUCACAAAGUCAGCAUGCUGCCCGCGGCGUCACGACGCGAAGCAAAAGAGGGCUUUCGGGCCUGAGUGAAUCGCCUCAACCGGUUUUGUCUGUUUCUCCGCUAAGAGGUUAAAUCAAUAAACUGACUACGCUCGUAGUAUAUUCGAGGGUCGAAUCUUUCGGACGCGGGUUCGACUCCCGCCAUCUCCAC
rnacentral:tmRNA from 1 species